rnacentral:rRNA from 1 species
GACGAACGCUGGCGGCGUGCCUAACACAUGCAAGUCGAGCGGUCCUGCAUUCAACAUUGAGUAUUCAGCAGGCGUUGGAGAUGUAACCAGCGUCAAGCAGAAACGACUAUAUAUUAUAAUUUUUUGAAGUUUCUGCUUCACGCCAAAUCAAGUGCCAACACAAAGGGAGCUGAGUAUUGAAUGUUGAAUGCAGGAUAGCGGCGGACGGGUGAGUAACGCGUGGGCAACCUGCCUCAUACAGGGGGAUAACACAGGGAAACUUGUGCUAAUACCGCACUAAUAUCAAUUGGGUGGCAUCACCUGAUGAUCAAAGGAGAAAUCCGGUAAUGAGAUGGGCCCGCGUCCGAGUUAGUUAGUUGGUAGAGGUAACGGCUCACCAAGGCGACGAUCGGUAGCCGAACUGAGGAGGUUGAGUCGGCCACGAUUGGGACUGAGACACGGCCCAGACUCCGUACGGGAGGCAGCAGGUGGGGAAUAGUUGCG